CAUCCUUCCCCACCCCUCUCAUCAACGCACAACUGCACCCACCCGAGCUCCCUCCCUCUCUCCCUCCCUUUCUCCCCCGUCCCAUCUUCUCAAGUUCUCCGAUUCCACCCCUCUCUGCCCCUCCUUUUUCGCCAUUGACCUCUCCUUUGAAAGGCUUCUCAAGACUAGGUCUUGCAAUGUCGAUCAAACCAAGCUCAUCGAUCGUGCUCUCCAAUUGGGUGUGUUACCAGGUUAGGACGAACUCGAGAGCCUGGGCGUUCAGCCGGCUAAACAAGACGUUCUAGGACAGAGAUGGAUUUGAUGUUGAAUUGGACGGUGGGGAUUCCCCUUGGGCCAUUUUAAUCUUGUUUGUAAAGGGUUCAGGGGGUUUUAUGGAUGAGGGUGAGGGAAGAAAGAGGAACUUGUUGGAGAAGAAAAAUAAGGGAGAGAGCCCUGUGAGGGGUAGAGAGGACAGUGGAGAGGACUUCUCAGAGCUUGGAUAUAAUCAAUGAAGAUGAGAAUUUUGGAAUAAGAUUGGAGAACGUGCUUAUAAUCAACGAAGCUGAUACAAAAUUCAACUUUGGUGGCAAGGGUUACUUGCAAUUUAAGCACAUAACAUGGGCACCAUAUCAGAAAAAGUUGAUCGACUUGAGUCUUUUAGCCUUUGAAGAGUUGGACUUCUCGGCUUUCUAUUUUCUUACUGGAAUUGGGUUUUGGUGUUCUGUCGUUGAGCUCACGCCAAAGAGAGAGAGAAGGAUGGGGUCUGGGGUUGGUGCAGGGCGAGUUGGGUGAAUAAGGGGCGUUGGGUUCGUUGGCCUGGGGAGUUAUUUGGAUUUUUUAAGUUUAUUUUUUAAAAUUUAUGUUAUUUUAUCAUUUUUUAUGAAUAUUUUUAGGAAUUGGUUGGUUAGUAGGUGGGUCUCACAAUAGACACAUCAGCAUUAAAGAUUGACCACACAGUCAACUUAACGAAAUGAUGAAAUUGGACGAUGUUGCAAA